UCGAACGGGAUCCAUCAGGCUUUGCUUGGUGGUGAGAGUGGCGAACGGGUGAGUAAUGCGUGACCGACCUGCCCCAUACACCGGAAUAGCUCCUGGAAACGGGUGGUAAUGCCGGAUGCUCCAGUUGAUCGCAUGGUCUUCUGGGAAAGCUUUCGCGGUAUGGGAUGGGGUCGCGUCCUAUCAGCUUGACGGCGGGGUAACGGCCCACCGUGGCUUCGACGGGUAGCCGGCCUGAGAGGGCGACCGGCCACAUUGGGACUGAGAUACGGCCCAGACUCCUACGGGAGGCAGCAGUGGGGAAUAUUGCACAAUGGGCGCAAGCCUGAUGCAGCGACGCCGCGUGAGGGAUGGAGGCCUUCGGGUUGUAAACCUCUUUUAUCGGGGAGCAAGCGAGAGUGAGUUUACCCGUUGAAUAAGCACCGGCUAACUACGUGCCAGCAGCCGCGGUAAUACGUAGGGUGCAAGCGUUAUCCGGAAUUAUUGGGCGUAAAGGGCUCGUAGGCGGUUCGUCGCGUCCGGUGUGAAAGUCCAUCGCUUAACGGUGGAUCCGCGCCGGGUACGGGCGGGCUUGAGUGCGGUAGGGGAGACUGGAAUUCCCGGUGUAACGGUGGAAUGUGUAGAUAUCGGGAAGAACACCAAUGGCGAAGGCAGGUC
rnacentral:rRNA from 1 species